UAAAAUUUAUAAAAUUAGGUAGUAAAGAAGAUUCUGAAACCUAAAGAAUUUGGCGGUAUUUUAAAUAAUUGGAGGAACCUGUUAUUUAAUUGAUAAUCCACAAUAUAUCUUACCUAAAUUUUGUUUGUAUAUCGUCGUUUUGAUAAUAUUUAAAAAUUAUAAUCAGUUCCAAUAAAUUUUUAAAAUUCAGAUCAAGGUGCAGUAUAUUUAGGUUAUAAUGGGUUACAAUAUAUUUAUAUAUAAUGAAUAUAAAAUUGAAAUUAUAUUGAAGGUGGAUUCAAAAGUAAAAUUAAAAUAAAAAGUUAAUUUGAUUAAUAAUUUAAAAUAUGC
rnacentral:rRNA from 1 species